UUCAAGGAGUUUCUCUUCUUUUGGGAAGAAAACAACACGUCCACAGGCGAGCAAAUUCAAAACACAAAUAAAAUAAAGUUACUUCUGUGUUUGGGGAGCACCAGUGAUGAAGAGAAGCCUAUUGUAGAGGGGCCACUUGAGCUGAGAGAAGGAGAGAAGGCAUACCAGGAUAAUCAAUCAAUCGGGCAAUAUCCUGAAGAUACGUACAUGUAGCCCUGUUUUUCCAAUGGCACAGGAACUCUGGCUCCUAUUCUUUGUCAAGGUGAUCAAGUGAGGCCUGACCUAACCUGAUUCCAUCACAUUCUGAUCCAGACCUGGAGGUGAGGGAGGCUUUCUUUGGUCCAGCAUCAGGGCCUGCCAUAGGCCAGCCCGUAAAAUAAAUGAAGACUGUCUUUAGCAUC